CCCGCCCCGAUUUUUUUUAUUUUUGAAAAAAUUACGAUUUCCGGAUUUUGUUCAUUUCCGUUACCGGUAACCGUCGAUAAUUUCGUUUCAUGUAAAAUUUCCUGUUUCAAAUUUCGGUUUUCGUAUUUCUUAGAGUAUUCUUACUGAAUGAUUAAGUCAAUAUAUUCUGCUGAUCUAUGAUGACAACAUCAUUUACCGAGAAUAGAGAUUGAUUACGAGAAGGGCAUGAAAUAUUCGGGUUACGAGUAAUACGCUGUGUUCAAGAACGCAAAUCACCGCAAGUCACACUUUCGAUCUAUUUUAUUUAUACAAUGACUUUGUGUCAGGAAAUUUGGACUGUGAAUGAAACCCAAAAGCGUAAGAAUCGUGGAACACAUUUGACUGGAAUAAAGAAAUUGACACGAGCAUGAACUUUUUAGAUUGGUGACCGUAUAUUGAGUUCAGAAAAUCGACAAACAUACGCAUUUUUAAUUUAUUAAUUUUAGCAAGCUCUUAGAUUAAGAAUUAGCCAUGGCUUUCGUUUUUUGUAGAAAAAACAGCAAACA
rnacentral:lncRNA from 1 species